AAGCAACGCCGGGCCAAAUGGCAGGCCCAAGUGUCACUCUGAUUUCUGCCGCUGUGUGCCGCUGCUGCUGUGGGGGAGGGGCUAGACUGUUUGCUGGGCAGGGGUAAGGAUUUGAGAUAUUCAAGGUGACGUCGGGAUUCAGCUUGGUUGCGCCGAACGUAAUAGAUAACUUGAGGACUGACACAUCUUUUCUCGGGACGGUCCCACUGGCGGCGGCGGUGGCAAGAAGGCAUGCACACGCUGGCAGACUGGCACAGAAUCCAGCUUUCCUUUCCUUUUUCUAAGAAAAAUAAAGUUUCU